UACGGGGGAGCAAGCGUUGUUCGGAUUUACUGGGCGUAAAGGGCGCGUAGGCGGUCAGCACAAGUCAGUUGUGAAAUCUCCGGGCUUAACUCGGAAAGGUCAACUGAUACUGUGCGACUAGAGUGCAGAAGGGCAACUGGAAUUCUCGGUGUAGCGGUGAAAUGCGUAGAUAUCAGGAGGAACACCAAUUGCGAAGGCAGCUCGCUGGGACGUUACUGACGCUGAGACGCGAAAGCGUGGGGAGCAAACAGG
rnacentral:rRNA from 1 species